UCAUCAUCUCCACUACUAGCAACUUCAGUGUAAGACUGACAAGUGGACUGAGUUGAAGGUGAAUCCUGGUCCUCGAAACUGAUUUGCUUUGUGGCAUGCAUAUGUUCAGUCCUUGCAUCCACCACCUUCAGGCUUAGGGGUUCAGUUGAAAUCAUACCACCCCAUGAGAUGCUAGUGUUCAGGUAUGGCAAAGUGGAACCUUUCUUACUCAUCUGAUGCCUAACGUCAAUCAAGCUAUUCACACAAGAAUGAUGAAGAAGACCUACAUAAAUAAAAAAAGAUAUAAAAGAGAGACUUAAAAGUUUCUAAAUUGAUAUACUUCCACCCACAUAAGAAGUCAUAUCUAAACGAACUCUGAUUCGACAGUACUAUCUUGAGUAAAACCAAAUCGAGACGAUUGGCCGAAAUUAGAAAUUUUCCGACCAAGAAACAAAACACAAAACACAAGUCAUCACUUUUGGCAAAAAGGGCGUUGACUUGAGAUGAAAGGAUUACCAAAUCAGUAAAACAACAUCAAUCUCACGCCACAAGACAGAUACAACGAAAAGGGGAAAACUUUGACAGAGAGAUUAAACACCAAAGCUUUUCGAACAAGAAGACAACAGAUACAGAGGGAGAUUGAUAGAAGACCAGGAAACCUUUUUGAGUAUUAGAUGAAACGACGAUGAAGAAAGGACACAGACUUAGUUUUGAAUUAAUUCAUGAAACCAUUUGGGGUAAUCUGGAUCGUUAUAAUCAACCUGCUAAAAUUAAUUAAUCAUAAAUUUCGACGCAAACUAGACUUAAAAUAUUUUUUCGUAAAUUCCUCUUUAUAUUUAUGUCUACUUUACGACGAAAUCUUGUUUUCUCGUAAAAACCACGUUAAAUUGCGUUGUUUUUACGACGAAACUUUAUUGUCGUUAUUUUACGACGAAAUUACGCUGAUUUGUUUUUUCCUCGUAAGGUUCUCGUAAAUAAGACAUACAUUUACGAGGACUUAUUUUCCUCGUUACAUUUCGUCGCUAAUUUUGUGUUUUCUUGUAGUGGUGCUUUCCGCAAUACAAGGGAGCGUGCCUGGCGUUUCUGCUACUGGGCAAGUAGUGUUACGAAGUUUCCAUUCCCCAGCCACAACAACAUAAAUAAUACUCGGUAAUCUAAUCUUAUCUUCUUCUUUAUUGCUUCAUUGUGAUCAUUUAUUAUCUUGUGCUCAACUUAUGCUAUGUUAGUCUUUUCCCCUUAAUGCUUUAGUAUAUUUUUUGCACUCAGAUUGAGUAGUUUCUGAUUCUUUCUUCACAGCCAUCAACAUGAAGAUGAUGCUGGUAUAGGCACUCCUUUGGAACCGCCAGAGGAUAAAAGCAUCACAGCACUUGCCAUCCGUGGAUUUAUUAAAAACACGAUGAGAAUCCUCGAGCACGGCAUAAUAGACAAAUUUGCUGCUUAUGGCGUGAUCAAAUCUGUCAGCUUCUUUGCCUGGGAAAGCCGUGCCCUAGACACAUUCACCACCCGAGAAGGAGCAGAGAUGGCCUUUCAAGCGCUCUCCAAGUUCCUAUUCAUCUACGAUCAGAGGCUAAAACUUGCAUGGGCAACUCCUCUGGAGGUUGGUGGUUCGAGCACCACUGAGAACAACGAUGCUUCUUCAAAUAUACCAAUCAUCUGCCAAUACUGCCGAGCGGUAAUUGUUAUUUAUUUAUUUAUUUUUUGUGUGUUUCCAAUAGCUCACUUUAUCCAAUUCUGGUUGUUAUUAUUAUAUGCAGACCGCAGCUGCAGUUGAGAAUGAAUCUGAUACCAGCCAGAUGCUUCACAGACUUUCAAUGCUCAAGCAUUAUCAGUCUCCAUCCUGGCAUGUGAAUCAGAACACCAAUGCUCUGUAAGCUAUUCUGAUCUGUAUUGCUUUGGUCGAGUAUUGGACAGACGGUGAGAAACUUGGUUAGGGAAGGUGGUUGGACAGCUUGUUAUAGAGGAUUGCGACCAAAAUGUGCUUCAAUGUCAAUGUCUGCAACUACUAUGGGUCUAACUGGUGACCAACGAAUGAAAGUAAAUAACGCAUUUCUUGCUAUUCUUAAUUUUUUUUACCAUUUAUUAAGAAUAAUUUUUCUGUUUCAUUUUUUUUAUUCUAGAAGAAUAUAAAAUAAAUUUGUUUCUUACUAGUAUUGAUCUUUUUCAUUCUUUUAUUCUAGAGGAAUAUAGAAUAAAUUUGUUUCUUACUAGUAUUGAUAAGUAAUAAUUUUCUUUUACAUUCUUAUAAUUUUAUUCUUCUGCAUUUUUUUUCACUAUUCAUUUCUAAUGUUAUUCUUUAUGAUUACUACCUACGAGUUCUUGAAACGGCUUUCGGCUAAGAACCAUGACGGGUUUUGCUCUAAAUCAUAGUGUUGACAGCUCAGAGAAACCACAUGGAAGAAUCUUUGUUGAAAUGUCUUUUAUUUUUCUUACCGAUCUUUGUUAUUUGUUUAGCUGUUCUGCUCUUUCCUUUGCUUCCAGUCAUAUUGUAAGGAAUGUGUUCAAAGUCGGUUGUUAAGAAAUGUUCAUUCCUCCCUCAUUUGCUUGGAUCGGUUCUCCAUAACCGUGCUAUUAAACCGGUAUGAUAAAUGAUGACUUGUAAGACUUUGUUGGACAAGACUUGAUUUGGCAAUAUGUUAUAAUCAGCAAGUCAUGAAUCACUUUUGGAAAGUGAUUUACAGGUUUGAUUGUGUCUUUAAUUAAUUGAAAAUGCUGUCUUUUGUUUUUAUGUAUGAUCAUUGUUAGUGUUUCAGGAACACAAGUUUGUAUCUGUCACAUAACUACAAAAGUCAACUAUUGAGGAGCAGAAUCUUAGGGCAUAGCGGCUCGUCUCUAGUCACGUCUCUCACGUUAAAAUAAUAGUUAGAAAUAAGAAACAGUGAAAAUUAGAGGAGAAAGGCGAAGGAUCGAUUGGUUUUGGAGAGACGUGCGUUUCUUAUAAGAAACCAAAUAACACAGCUGUUAACUUUUAAGUGGAUAAUACCUUUAACCAGCUAAACUAUGUUUUAAGAGAAUUGAGUUUCUUACCGAUGCUGGGUUUCUUCUUACCUUAUUCAAAUAAAUUUAUAGGAAAUAAUUGGUAACAGAUGGCUUUGAUAUUUUUAUUCAUGAACAUGUCCAAGAUAUGGUAAUAUUUUCAAGUAUUUUUAAGUGUGUGAUGACAUCUUCUCAAACUGAUAAGUGAGACUCAAAAGUAGAAUCUUUCAACCUCUUUUCUUAAUUCAAGUUUACAGAAAAAACAAAUAAUUUUAUACUAUAUAAACUACAAGAUUCUUCAUUAAAUGUAUAUCAAACAUUGUCAACUAGAUUGUAAGAUAUUCAGAAAUGUAUCUUACACGUCCAUGGAGUGGAAUGCAGAAUCUGUUUUAUUUAUUUAUCAUGUUCAUACAGAAUCAAAGCACUAGUUUACACAAGAGAUAGUAAGAGAAGAUUAAAAGUGUUUUCAAACUGAAGAUUUUGGUAGUUCUUGUUCUUGUUGUGAUAUUUUAACACACAUAAAGUGAAAUUGAAACAUAAAAAAGUAACAACAAGCAAGAGAACUAGUAGUAGUAGCCAAGGAUGACUUCCCCUUUAGGUGGGAAACAUUGAAACAACACCAAAAGAUCCAAUGUCUCAGAUAUGGACAGAGAAAUGGUGCAAGUCCCCACCUCCAUGCAUGUCAUUGGACUGACCAUGAACAAGUAUAGCUCGGUUAGUCUGUGUUGGGAUUGGGAAACCUGAAAACUGGAAUUCAGUGUGUCCGAAGAUAUCAGCACCGUCGGAAACACAUGUAACGUCAGAGCCAGAAGUGGUUGAUCCGCCACGGUCUUUGUUGUGCUGCAGCACAUGAGCUUUGAAUCUAGACAAGUUUGCCUGUUGGACCGACUUGUCAUGUUCUUGUUCUUUGGCAGCAGCCUGCUCGGAUUCUUGAAGAAGUUUUUUGGUGUUGAGGAAUCUUCCACCGGAUCCUCUUGGCCUUUUAAGAGCAUGGACAUGUCGUGAUUCAUGAAGAUACGGCUGUUGCAAUAAAGAAAAACAGAGAUGAGCAUAGCAUUAUAGAUGAGAAGCUUUUGUUGGUGCUUAUUAUACCUUUCUUGCUUUGAUUAGUUUGUUCUGAGCCUCAAGCUUGGCACGUUGCUGCCUCCUCCUCAUGAUUGCAUGGUAUUGCUUCGCAUUGACAAAGACUGGCUCAGCUUCAGUGAUCUCCACUGGUAGUGCAACUCUACCAGGAACCAUACCCACCAUUUGGGGAUUGCAUGUCUGCAAAAGAGAUAAAGAGACUUAUGAUCACUGCAACGCAUGGCAGACGAAGAAAGUAUACUAAAGAAAGGUCUUACUAACCGGUGCAUGUGGAAGAUAAGGUGUAGCUAACAAACCACCAUAAUGUGGAUCAGCAUAGUGAAAUGAGAAAUUAGUCUGCACCAUGUAUGAUAUAAGGUAUCAGUCCACCAUUAGAUGAUUGCUUUUAUUACAAAUUAAAAGUUUACAAGUACCUGCGGAGGAGCAAAGUGCAUGUUCGGGAAUGAUGUCAUUGCGCAUGGUUUAGUAUGAGUCGCAGAUACCUUCCGCUGAGUUUCUUCAGAUCCUAGACAAGAAAAUGAGAGAGAUGAUAACAUUCUUUAUAGCAAAAUGAUUGAUUCUCUUGUGAAUAACAUACGUAUUGAACAUAUACCAACACUCUAAUAUCUGAUAAGCAAACAAGAUCAAGCCAAAACAUCAAGCAAGAGUCUUUAACAUAGAAGAUUACACAAACCGAGUAGAAACUGACCUGAUUUGGUUGAAAAGGAGAUUUGUCUGCAAGAUUUAUCAUCUCCACUACUAGCAACUUCAGUGUAAGACUGACAAGUGGACUGAGUUGAAGGUGAAUCCUGGUCCUGGAAACUGAUUUGCUUUGUGGCAUGCAUAUGUUCAGGCCUUGCAUCAACCACCUUCAGGCUUAGGGGUUCAGUUGAAAUCAUACCACCCCAUGAGAUGCUAGUGUUCAGGUAUGGCAAAGUGGAACCUUUCUUACUCAUCUGAUGCCUAACGUUAAUCAAGCUAUUCACACAAGAAUGAUGAAGAAGACCU
rnacentral:lncRNA from 1 species